rnacentral:rRNA from 1 species
AUGCACGCUGGCGGCGUGCCUAAUACAUGCAAGUCGAGCGAACAGACGAGGAGCUUGCUCCUCUGACGUUAGCGGCGGACGGGUGAGUAACACGUGGAUAACCUACCUAUAAGACUGGGAUAACUUCGGGAAACCGGAGCUAAUACCGGAUAAUAUAUUGAACCGCAUGGUUCAAUAGUGAAAGACGGUUUUGCUGUCACUUAUAGAUGGAUCCGCGCCGCAUUAGCUAGUUGGUAAGGUAACGGCUUACCAAGGCAACGAUGCGUAGCCGACCUGAGAGGGUGAUCGGCCACACUGGAACUGAGACACGGUCCAGACUCCCACGGGAGGCAGCAGUAGGGAAUCUUCCGCAAUGGGCGAAAGCUUGACGGAGCAACGCCGCGUGAGUGAUGAAGGUCUUCGGAUCGUAAAACUCUGUUAUUAGGGAAGAACAAAUGUGUAAGUAACUAUGCACGUCUUGACGGUACCUAAUCAGAAAGCCACGGCUAACUACGUG